CAGAGGAGCUGAGGGAGAGAGAGAAUCCCAACCAGCUUCCAUGCUCAGCGUGAAGCCCGACCCAGGGGCUUGAUCCCACGACCCUGGGAUCAUGACCUGAGCCGAAAUCAAGAGUCAGAUGCCCAACAAGGUAUCCCUACACCUGACUCCCCUUCUAAGAUAACCCUAUGCUAUCAAGAAUAACAUGGGGGCGCCUGGGUGGCUCAGUCAGGGGUUCGUCUCUGGGGUCGUGGGUUCGAGCCCCACGUUGGGUGAAGAGAUUACUAAAAAUAA